UACGGAGGGGGCUAGCGUUGUUCGGAAUUACUGGGCGUAAAGCGCACGUAGGCGGCUUUGUAAGUUAGAGGUGAAAGCCCGGGGCUCAACUCCGGAAUUGCCUUUAAGACUGCAUCGCUAGAAUUGUGGAGAGGUAAGUGGAAUUCCGAGUGUAGAGGUGAAAUUCGUAGAUAUUCGGAAGGAACACCAGUGGCGAAGGCGGCUUUCUGGUCUGUAACUGGACGCUGAGGCGCGAAAGCGGUGGGGAGCGAACAGG
rnacentral:rRNA from 1 species